rnacentral:tRNA from 1 species
GCCUUCGUGAUGUAGUGGUCAGCACCCUCCACGCGUAACCGAGAGAUCCGUGGUUCGAUUCCCGGCGAAGGCG